GUGUCAGCCGCCGCGGUAAUACGUGGGAUGCGAGCGUUAUCCGGAUUUACUGGGCGUAAAGAGUUCGUAGGCGUCUGGUUAAGUUUCCUUUGAAAGACCGAGGCUCAACUUCGGGAACGGAGGAAAUACUAAUCAGAUCGAGUCAGCUAGGGGGCACUGGAACUCAUAGUGUAGCAGUGAAAUGCGUUGAUAUUAUGAGGAACACCAAGGGCGAAGGCAGGUGCCUGGGGCUGUACUGACGCUGAGGAACGAAAGCUAGGGGAGCGAAAGGGAUUAGAAACCCUUGUAGUCC
rnacentral:rRNA from 1 species